UGACUAGUUGUUGCCAGGUAACGCGUCAUCGCCAUAGGAGGUAUACGAGUUUACAGGCCUUAAGCAACAAGUAGGCCUUGAUUCGUCCUACUGUUUCGUCGCGUUGGCUGAGAUCAAGUUGUCCGAAAUCGACAUUAGUUGGCGAAUUAUCUGAAAUCAAGCCAGAGAACAAUGUGUGGAAUCUGAUAUUCAAGACCUGAAAACCCCAGCUUUCCUUCUGCUUCAACAAGGCUAUAAAGCUAUUGUAAUUUUGGGAGGUCCCAGCGUUGCAUCCCAGUUUACACAGCGGAUGUCCCACAAUACAACCCAGCAAUCUUUAUUACUUGCGGUCUUCCACUGCCGGGAAUUUAUUAUUCAUGCAACUUUCCCGACGAUCCUGUAACUGCCGGAGUAGGGUCUUGUGCAACGGCAAAAUUUUCUUUAUUAUCUUUGCUGGUGUUGGGGCUGGUGCUGUGCUUCCGGUGUUAGAACGGAAGCUACUGCCGCCUGGCGGAAACAACAUUGAAGAUCGAUGAGCCGUCGAUUUUUCCGUAUUGGCCUAAUCGUUCAUGGACGCAGAACGAUGAACCGUCGUAGCUCCGGCAGCCGUUUUGCUGGCGUCUGGGGCUGUGUUGCGGCGACUGAGCUGCGAAAACUGUGCAGCAUCAUCAUCCUCGUCGUCAGUCUUGUACUGUCCACGCUCUUCGUGGAACCUUUCGAUGAUUCUUUCGUGAGGCGAGGUCGAGGCCAAGAAUCUCGGGAAUCCGAAUUCUCUUCGCUGAGGAGUUUGUCCUGGAAAACAAUUCAAUAUCACAAAAAUUUAAAAAAUUCACUUCUACAAUCCCCAUUAACGCAUUUGAGAAACACAUACAAGUCGGGCCUUCUUGACGCAUAUCUUCCACAAUGAAUUUGACAACAUCGCUGUUGCGCUGACGAAUUUCCGUAGAGAGCAGAGAGCUCCAAUCGCUCAUCGACGACGCGUGGGAUUCCACAUCGUCCCGUCGCUCGCGGACAGUCGUCACCAUAUCGGCCCGCUGCUCCUCCAGUAGAGCUUCCUAAAUCUGGGCGGCCACGUGGAGCGAAUGAAGCGACUCGGUCGUCAGGUGGGCGUAGCUGAGCAAAGCGCCGUUCAAGUGAUCAGAAUGCUUGCGCAAAUCUGCCUUCUGGGCACUCUAAAGCUCCUGCCAGGCUGCCUGUGACGUGGUCACGUGACUGGAGAUAUCUCCUUCGAUGACGGCGCAAGUCUUGUACGUUUCUUGGCUCCGACCGACGCCCUUCUUCAACGAAACCGUGGCCGUUUGCAGCAAAGCCGAACGGGAAUUUUCCAGCUGACUGCGAAGAUCUUUGCCUUGGCCACAAAAUCGUUGGCCGUCGUCUCGACGUGUUAGAAGUUGCUGUUCUAUUGCUGCGCCUUUUGCACGGCAUUCGAAACUUCGGUGCUUGUGUCGUUGACGCGAGUCUUGUAAUUCUCGCGGGUCUGCUGGACAGAGUUGACCAGAUUGAUGAUCAUCUGCAUUUGCUUGUUGAUUUCAGCGUCAAAUUCACUGAGCGAUUGGCUAGACAGCGUCUGUUGCUCGCUGAUUCGUCGCAGAUGCCAUUCUGUUUGUUGAUCCCAUUGCUGGGUAACUUGCCUCAACCGAUUCAUUCCGUCUUUUUGAUCCGUCAAGAGGACUUUAACCAAAUCCGCCUGUCGCUGCAGCUCUUCCGUCAGGGAACGCUGCAGCUGCUGGACGGCCUGCCCUCGCUCUUGCAGAGAUUUCGACACCGACUGGAACUUGGGUAAGAAAUUGUCCACGAGAAACUGAUGCUGAUUGGCCGCUUGAACGUUGACCUGAGUCCUAGUCGUCCCCCAAAACGAUUUGGUGAACUCCUGUGUGCUGUGGGUGCUGUCCGUGGCCGCCUUGCGCAGACCUUCGGCAAACUGCAGCAUCAACUCGCUCAAGACGCUCAGAUCACUGCUCUGCUUGGCCAGAAUAGUUCCAUAACUACCGGCAAUAUCACUGAGGAAUUUCGUGUGAUCCUUGACGAAGUUCUCCAGGCCAUCUUCCAUCCGGGCCACGUUUUGCUCAAAACUCUGACGGAGCCGUUCAUUCUCCUUCUCAACGGACCUAUACAUUAUCCUUCUCAAUGGACCUAUACAUUAUCCAUAAAAAUCUGUGUUGACUAUAGCAGCCCGGGAUUUGGAAAAAGAAAAAAAAGGGAGAAACGCUUACCGUUUACGAUCCAGUUUCGAAUGGAGUUUUCGUACGUGAUCGUUGGAAACAUCGGCUACUUUGAGCAACUCCCGUGCUUGAGAGCCGAGUUGCUGUUCCGUGUGAGUCUGAUGUAGGACAAUGUGCCCCUUUUCGUCUCGUUGGCGUCGAGUCUGUUUCAAUUUGGAACGAGUCAUCGACAAAUUGUGUUGAGUGCUGUUCAGCUCCUCCACCGUAGCCUGCAUGUACGAGUCAGUUCAAAUUUAAAAAAAAAAAAAAAUGGCAUUUACUAAAAGAUAACAAUUUUUAAAAAGUAGACGAAGAAGAAGAAGAAGAAAAAAUCCAUUCAUGUAGGACAGUCUGUUCGUCGUAGAGACCCUGAAGUUGCUGGCAGGACUCUUCUUUGCGGGCCUGCUCCUCCAUGGCCUUGAUCUGCUCCAGCUUUUCGACAAUCUCCUUGCGUUGCCAUUCAAUCUCGCGAGUGAUUUGCCUGUAGUUUUCCUGCACCACGUAAACACGUUCUUCUCGCUCCCAACAGCUAUUGACGAAGCCUCUCGAUCUCCUCCGUAUACUCAUAUACAGGCACAAACAAUUCGACACAGACACACAUACAACAACUAAUUAUGAUGAAUUUAGCGACCGAUCCACCUACACAGAAACAACCAAUAUGGUCAACAAGUUAGACACAGACUAGGUGCAGAAUGUUAGUUAGUUGGUCUUAUCCCCUCUCUUUUGUUUCUCCUCUUAAACAACCACUGCGUUUCCCAUCAUCCGUCAUCCCCUAUACAAUCAGCGAUUCAAAAGACCUUGGCCCUUCUUAAUAAUCAUAUCCAUCUCUCUGUGUUUCUGCAUGUCGUGGGCCGCGAAAGUGACCAGCGGUCAAUUAAGUCAAAUUAUAUUCUAAUUCUCCUCUCCUCUCCCUGUUCGUCGGCCGGUUCCUUUUUUUACGAUCUCAUAAAAAAAAAAAAAAAAGCCGAAGAAGUGCGGUUAACAUAGCGUUAGAGAUUUAGGAGCUCACGCCGGUUUUCUUCCCCUUCUGACCAAGCUAAGCAGCUUUUUGAAGCAAAGGAAGGGCUUUUGAACGAAUCGCGCCCAAUCAGGGAUCCCCACAACAUUCAGUUUUGCCUUGUAAUAUGUAAUAUGUAAUAUGAUGGAGAAGAGAUCAUUUCCAAGCGGCCCUACUUUUUUUCUCUUUUUUUUUUUUCUUAUUGGUCCCUCUCUACAAAUGAUUAUUCUGUGGAAUGGAGGGAACAGAGAAUGAUGAGUUUGAAAGAGUGAUGACGAUAUAUUAUGACUAUAUAUUAUAUUAUAUUAUGACUUUGAUUUUAUCUAUACUCUGUCUGAUCUCUGAUGUCUCAAAUUGAAUCCUAGUGGCUAACCUAAACAGGAAAACAAAGAAUACACCAAAAAUACUGGUCUUACUA